CCUGCAUACAUAGGUUGAGUGCAGGCUGUAGUGUGAAUAGCACACAUAGGUUGUGUGCUUGCUGUGUGUGAGAACAGGGCACAUGAGUUGUGUGCAGCUGUCUCCAAGUUGGCUUUGACUAGCAGUCUCCAAGUUUGGUUUUGCUUAGUAGAAGCCAACUAGACAUUAGUUGUCUAGGUCGGUUACUGUAGCACCGACCUAAAGCCUCUAUAUAAGGAGAGGCACCCCAUAUGGAGAAAGGAAGAAGUAAGCUAUAUAGAGAAGAAAAUGCAGCAGUCUUGAGCUGCACCAAACUACUUGUGUCCACUUUCAUUUGAGUUGAGAGAGUGUGUGUCCAAGUGCAAAGUAUGAGUAGCAGCAACUCUUAGUAGUAGCUUUCAAUUUGGUAUCAGAGCCAUGGCGUUAGUUCCGCACGGUGCCGGUGUCGGGGGGAGCUCGGUGACGCUGACCUGCCCGGUGCUCACGCCGACGAACUACACCGUCUGGGCUAUCAAGGUGGAGGCGAUCCUUGAUGCCCAGGGCGUGUGGGAGGCGGUGUCUCCGAUAGAUGGCGUGGCGGUGGACGCGGCGAAGAACAAGACGGCGAUGGCACAACUUCUUGGCGCGCUGUCGGAGGACAUCCUUAUGUCAGUGUCGACGAAGAAGACGGCGAAGGAGGUGUGGGAUAGCCUCAAGACAAGGUUCAUCGGCGCCGUUCUGUGACCCGGAGGAGAUAGCGUUCGAGGAGGCGGUGGGCAGGCUCAAGACGUUCGAGGAACGCUCACGGCGUCGCGCGCAAGCCAAGGGCGGCGGCGAACAGAGUGUCGGCCAGCUUCUGCUCACGGCCGCUCAGUGGGAGGUUCGCGUUUGAGCGCGACGGCAUCAACGGCGUAUGUCGCCGAAACGUCAGGCGUGUGUCGCCAGCGGAGAAGGAGCUCGGCGUAUGUCGCCGAGGAAGAAGGUGGCCUUGUUCGUGCGGAGAUGAGGCAUGCAGCGAUGUUCACGUCCGUGAGGCCAUAGCGGCGGCCACGGUGGCGAGGACGAUGACGGGAGCUGCAACAUCUCCGGCGACGGCAGGUCACGGCUUGGGGGGGAAUAAGCCACUUCGUGCGGGGUCGACGACCAGCGUGUUCGUGCGCGUCUAGGUUGUACGUGGCCGUGGCAGGUGUGCCCAGCUUGUAUGUGUCCGUUCCACGUCGUGCAUCUGAGCGCGUUGGUGAUCUGUUGAAGGCCUGCAACGUUGUGCGCGUUG